AACUUUUAGCAACGGAUCUCUUGGUUCUGGCAUCGAUGAAGAACGCAGCGAAAUGCGGUAAGUAAUGUGAAUUGCAGAAUUCAGUGAAUCAUCGAAUCUUUGAACGCACAUUGCGCCCCUUGGUAUUCCGAGGGGCAUGCCUGUUCGAGCGUCAUUACAACCCUCAAGCAUUGCUUGGUAUUGGGCUCCGCUGCUUACCCAGCGGGCCUUAAAAUCAGUGGCGGUGCCGUCGGGCCCUGAGCGUAGUAAAUCUCCUCGCUAUAGGGACUCGACAGACGCUGGCCACCAACCCCUUACUUUCUAAGUUUGACCUCGGAUCAGGUAGGGAUACCCGCUGAACUUAAGCAUAUCAAUAAGCGGAGGCU
rnacentral:misc_RNA from 1 species